rnacentral:misc_RNA from 1 species
AUCCGUUCACAAUGAGAGAAGUUGAAGGUAUGACACAGGGAACUGUGAAAUGGUUUAACAGCGAAAAAGGCUUCGGUUUUAUCGCUCCGGACGGCGGCGCAGCGGAUGUGUUCGUCCACUACUCGGAAAUCCAGGGCAACGGCUACCGAUCGCUCGAGGAGAACCAGCGAGUCGAGUUCAAUGUCGAGCAGGGAGCCAAGGGCCCGCAGGCAGUCGGAGUAACUGCCGUCUAAAGCGAGUUCAACCCUAUGUGGGCUGGUGGGAGGCUUCCCGCCAGCCCACA